UUGAACGCUGGCGGCAUGCCUUACACAUGCAAGUCGAACGGUAACAGGUCUUCGGAUGCUGACGAGUGGCGAACGGGUGAGUAAUACAUCGGAACGUGCCCGAGAGUGGGGGAUAACGGAGCGAAAGCUUUGCUAAUACCGCAUACGAUCUACGGAUGAAAGCAGGGGACCGCAAGGCCUUGCGCUCAUGGAGCGGCCGAUGGCAGAUUAGGUAGUUGGUGGGAUAAAAGCUUACCAAGCCGACGAUCUGUAGCUGGUCUGAGAGGACGACCAGCCACACUGGGACUGAGACACGGCCCAGACUCCUACGGGAGGCAGCAGUGGGGAAUUUUGGACAAUGGGCGCAAGCCUGAUCCAGCCAUACCGCGUGAGUGAAGAAGGCCUUCGGGUUGUAAAGCUCUUUCAGCCGGAAAGAAAUCGUGCAGAUUAACACUCUGUAUGGAUGACGGUACCGGAAGAAGAAGCACCGGCUAACUACGU
rnacentral:rRNA from 1 species